rnacentral:rRNA from 1 species
UACGUAGGGUGCGAGCGUUAAUCGGAAUUACUGGGCGUAAAGCGUGCGCAGGCGGUUCGUCGUGUCCGAUGUGAAAGCCCCGGGCUCAACCUGGGAAUGGCAUUGGAAACUGGGGGACUUGAGUGCAGAAGAGAAGAGCGGAAUUCCACGUGUAGCGGUGAAAUGCGUAGAGAUGUGGAGGAACACCAGUGGCGAAGGCGGCUCUUUGGUCUGUAACUGACGCUGAGGCGCGAAAGCUAGGGGAGCAAACAGG